rnacentral:rRNA from 1 species
GACGAACGCUGGCGGCGUGCCUAAUACAUGCAAGUUGAGCGCUGAAGGUUGGUACUUGUACCAACUGGAUGAGCAGCGAACGGGUGAGUAACGCGUGGGGAAUCUGCCUUUGAGCGGGGGACAACAUUUGGAAACGAAUGCUAAUACCGCAUAAAAACUUUAAACACAAGUUUUAAGUUUGAAAGAUGCAAUUGCAUCACUCAAAGAUGAUCCCGCGUUGUAUUAGCUAGUUGGUGAGGUAAAGGCUCACCAAGGCGAUGAUACAUAGCCGACCUGAGAGGGUGAUCGGCCACAUUGGGACUGAGACACGGCCCAAACUCCUACGGGAGGCAGCAGUAGGGAAUCUUCGGCAAUGGACGAAAGUCUGACCGAGCAACGCCGCGGGAGUGAAGAAGGUUGACGGAUCGUAAAACUCUGUUGGUAGAGAAGAACGUUGGUGAGAGUGGAAAGCUCAUCAAGUGACGGUAACUACCCAGAAAGGGACGGCUAACUACGUG